rnacentral:rRNA from 11 species
AGCCAUGAGCAGGUUGAAGGUUGAGUAACAUCAACUGGAGGACCGAACCCACUGACUUUGAAAAGUUAGGGGAUGACUUGUGGCUGGGGGUGAAAGGCCAAUCAAACCGGGAGAUAGCUGGUUCUCCCCGAAAGCUAUUUAGGUAGCGCCUCGGACGAAUACCACAGGGGGUAGAGCACUGUUUCGGCUAGGGGGUCAUCCCGACUUACCAACCCGAUGCAAACUCCGAAUACCUGUGAGUACUAUCCGGGAGACACACGGCGGGUGCUAACGU